rnacentral:rRNA from 1 species
UCAAAAGAUUUAUUGCUUUGAGAUGGACCCGCGGCGCAUUAGCUAGUUGGUAAGGUAACGGCUUACCAAGGCAACGAUGCGUAGCCGACCUGAGAGGGUGAUCGGCCACAUUGGAACUGAGACACGGUCCAGACUCCUACGGGAGGCAGCAGUGGGGAAUAUUGCGCAAUGGGGGAAACCCUGACGCAGCAACGCCGCGUGGGUGAUGAAGGUCUUCGGAUUGUAAAACUCUGUCUUUGGGGACGAUAAUGACGGUACCCAAGGAGGAAGCCACGGCUAACUAC